UACAGGGGGUGCAAACGUUGCUCGGAAUCAUUGGGCGUAAAGCGCACGUAGGCGGUUCGUUAUGUCGGAUGUGAAAGCCCUUGGCUUAACCGAGGAAGUGCAUCCGAAACUGGCGAGCUAGAGUACUAAAGAGGAUCGCGGAAUUCCCGGUGUAGAGGUGAAAUUCGUAGAUAUCGGGAGGAACACCGGUGGCGAAGGCGGUC
rnacentral:rRNA from 1 species